UACGUAGGGGGCAAGCGUUAUCCGGAUUUACUGGGUGUAAAGGGAGCGUAGACGGCAGUGCAAGUCCGGAGUGAAAGCCCGCGGCCCAACCGCGGGACUGCAUUGGGAACUACCGGGCUGGAGUGCCGGAGAGGUAGGCGGAAUUCCUAGUGUAGCGGUGAAAUGCGUAGAUAUUAGGAGGAACACCAGUGGCGAAGGCGGCCUACUGGACGGUGACUGACGCUGAGGCUCGAAAGCGUGGGGAGCAAACAGG
rnacentral:rRNA from 1 species